rnacentral:rRNA from 1 species
UGGGGAAUAUUGGACAAUGGGCGCAAGCCUGAUCCAGCCAUGCCGCGUGAGUGAUGAAGGCCCUAGGGUUGUAAAGCUCUUUUGUGCGGGAAGAUAAUGACUGUACCGCAAGAAUAAGCCCCGGCUAACUUCGUGCCAGCAGCCGCGGUAAUACGAAGGGGGCUAGCGUUGCUCGGAAUCACUGGGCGUAAAGGGUGCGUAGGCGGGUCUUUAAGUCAGGGGUGAAAUCCUGGAGCUCAACUCCAGAACUGCCUUUGAUACUGAGGAUCUUGAGUUCGGGAGAGGUGAGUGGAACUGCGAGUGUAGAGGUGAAAUUCGUAGAUAUUGGUAGGAACACCCAUUGCGAAGGCGGUCUCUUGGUCCGACACUGACGCUGAGGCGCGAAAGCGUGGGGAGCAAACA